rnacentral:rRNA from 1 species
AUGAGCUACUACAACCAGCAGCCACCCGUCGGCGCCCCGCCGCCGCAAGGGUACGGGGACAAGGGCGGCUACCCGCCGCCGGGCAGGGCUACCCGCCGCAGUACGCGCAGCAGCCGCCGCCCCACCAGCAGCAGCAGCAGAGCAGCGGGCCUUCCUUCAUGGAGGGAUGCCUGGCCGCCCUUUGCUGCUGCUGUCUCCUGGACGCCUGCUUCUGAGGAGGGAGGGAGGGAGGAAGACGACGAUCAACUUCGUGCAACUGGGACUGAGCUAUCCUUCUCUGACGGAGAAAUGCUGCUAGUAGCUUAA